GUGAAUCAUCGAAUCUUUGAACGCAAAUUGCACUCUCUUCGGAGAGUAUGCCUGUUUGAGGGUCAGCCUAAAAAAAAAAAUCGACAUAGUCGCUGUUUCGCGGUGUCAUUCGUCGGAAAUUGGGUCAUCUUAAACCUUUGGGUUUUAAGUGGUUUAAAAUUUUCUUUACGUUUUCACGAACUUUUUUAAGAUUUAUUUCUUUUACGUUGAAGGUAUCGAGCU
rnacentral:misc_RNA from 1 species